rnacentral:rRNA from 1 species
GACGAAGGAUGCAAGCGUUAUCCGGAUUCAUUGGGUUUAAAGGGAGCGUAGGUGGACUUGUAAGUCAGUGGUGAAAUCUUUGGGCUUAACCCAGAAACUGCCAUUGAUACUGCAGGUCUAGAGUACAGUUGCCGUUGGCGGAAUAUGACAUGUAGUGGUGAAAUACUUAGAUAUGUCAUAGAACACCGAUUGCGAAGGCAGCUAACGAAGCUGUAACUGACACUGAGGCUCGAAGGUGCGGGGAUCAAACAGG